rnacentral:rRNA from 1 species
AACGAACGCUGGCGGCAUGCCUAACACAUGCAAGUCGAAUGAGACCUUCGGGUCUAGUGGCGCACGGGUGCGUAACGCGUGGGAACCUGCCCUUAGGUUCGGAAUAACUCCCCGAAAGGGGUGCUAAUACCGGAUAAUGUCUUCGGACCAAAGAUUUAUCGCCUUUGGAUGGGCCCGCGUUGGAUUAGCUAGUUGGUAGGGUAAAAGCCUACCAAGGCGACGAUCCAUAGCUGGUCUGAGGGGAUGAUCAGCCACACUGGGACUGAGACACGGCCCAGACUCCUACGGGAGGCAGCAGUGGGGAAUAUUGGACAAUGGGCGAAAGCCUGAUCCAGCAAUGCCGCGUGAGUGAUGAAGGCCUUAGGGUUGUAAAGCUCUUUUACCCGGGAUGAUAAUGACAGUACCGGGAGAAUAAGCUCCGGCUAACUCCGUG